AGAAUACUAAAUAAAUUCUAAUUAAACCUUAAAAAUUCUAAUCAAGUUUUAAUCAAAUUCAAAAAAAAUCUACAAUAAACCUUUAAAAAUCUCUAAGAAAUCCUAAAGAAAUAUUAGAAUAAUUAUAAAUAUAUCUUAAAUAAAUCUCAACUCAAUUUUAAUUUAAUUUUAGUUGAAAUCCUAUUAGACUUCAAUAAAAUCUUAGGCCAAAUCCUAAAUCCUAAUCAAAUCUUAAAUCAAAUCUUAAAUCCUAAGCCAAUCCUAAUUCUAAACCAAACCUUAAUCAAAACCUAACCAACUCAAGUUAAUCUUACUAUAUUUUAGAACCUU
rnacentral:lncRNA from 1 species